AGGAGGAGGAAAGAGGAAGAGGAGUAGAGGCGGCCCUAGGUAAUUUUCAACGGCUGCUUGACCAAGGGCAAGAUGGAUGGAUGGUGCCCUUGGUGUGACUGGCUUGACUUUGAAGGAACUGGGGCUGGCCACUGCCGACAGGGAGCUCUGGCAUAGGCUGGUCCAUGAGGUCACAAAGAGUCGGAAGAGACUGAACAAAUAAACAAAGGUUGCUUGACAA